CAGGAAGUAGUUUAAUUAGAAUGUCGGCUUUGGGCGUUGAUGGUGGGGUGUAAUGUCUCCUUCCUGA